rnacentral:rRNA from 1 species
AAGACCUUGCACUUUUGGAGCGGCCGAUGUCUGAUUAGCUAGUUGGUGGGGUAAUGGCCUACCAAAGCUUCGAUCAGUAGCUGGUCUGAGAGGACGGCCAGCCACACUGGGACUGAGACACGGCCCAGACUCCUACGGGAGGCAGCAGUGGGGAAUUUUGGACAAUGGGGGCAACCCUGAUCCAGCCAUGCCGCGUGAGUGAAGAAGGCCUUCGGGUUGUAAAGCUCUUUCAGCCGGAACGAAACGGUUACGGAUAAUACCCGUGACUACUGACGGUACCGGAAGAAGAAGCACCGGCUAACUACGUGCCAGCAGCCGCGGUAAUACGUAGGGUGCAAGCGUUAAUCGGAAUUACUGGGCGUAAAGCGUGCGCAGGUGGUUUUGUAAGUCAGAUGUGAAAGUCCCGGGCUCAACCUGGGAACU